rnacentral:rRNA from 1 species
UGGGGAAUUUUGGACAAUGGGGGCAACCCUGAUCCAGCCAUGCCGCGUGAGUGAAGAAGGCCUUCGGGUUGUAAAGCUCUUUCGGACGGAACGAAAUGGUUACGGAUAAUACCUGUGACUGAUGACGGUACUGUAAGAAGAAGCACCGGCUAACUACGUGCCAGCAGCCGCGGUAAUACGUAGGGUGCGAGCGUUAAUCGGAAUUACUGGGCGUAAAGCGUGCGCAGGCGGUUCGCCAAGUCAGGUGUGAAAUCCCCGGGCUUAACCUGGGAAUUGCGCUUGAAACUAGCGGGCUUGAGUGUGGCAGAGGGGGGUGGAAUUCCACGUGUAGCAGUGAAAUGCGUAGAGAUGUGGAGGAACACCGAUGGCGAAGGCAGCCCCCUGGGUCAACACUGACGCUCAUGCACGAAAGCGUGGGGAGCAAACAGGAUUAGAUACCCAAGUAGUCCCUGAGCGGGCUGGCAAGGCGCAU